GGACUGAGACACGGCCCACACUCCUACNNGUAGCAGCAGUGGGGAAUAUUGCACAAUGGGCGCAANCCUGAUGCANCCAUGCCGCGUGUGUGAAGAAGGCCUUCUUCGUUGUAAAGCACUUUCANCUAAUGAGGAAAGGGUAGUCUUUAAUAGAGGCUAU
rnacentral:rRNA from 1 species